GUUAUGGCUCAGUGGUAGCGUGCUUGCCUAACAUGCAUGAGGCACUGGGUUCGAUUCUUAGCACAACA
rnacentral:tRNA from 1 species